UACGAAGGGGACUAGCGUUGUUCGGAAUCACUGGGCGUAAAGCGCACGUAGGCGGAUUCGUAAGUCAGGGGUGAAAUCCCGGGGCUCAACCCUGGAAUUGCCUUUGAUACUGGCGAUCUUGAGUAUGGGAGAGGUAAGCGGAACUCCGAGUGUAGAGGUGAAAUUCGUAGAUAUUCGGAAGAACCUCAGUGGCGAAGGCGGCUUACUGGACCAUCACUGACACUGAGGCUCGAAAGCGUGGGGAGCAAACAGG
rnacentral:rRNA from 1 species